UUGCAUUUUCUUAAUAAAGUUUAUUUUGCACCCCACCAGUGCAGUAAUUGCCCCAAGAUCCCCUACCUGCUGGCAGGGACAAGUAGGAGGAUGAGUUAAAGUGCUUUUUCCUGAGUGUAAAGCAAGUAAGCAGUAUUGCUUUGAUGCAGUUGUCUGUUAUUGAUGAUUUUUCUUUCUUCUCUCUGGGGAAGUAGAAGGGAAAGAACACAGACUGAGUGGU